GCAGAAUAUAAUGAAACUUUAACAGACAUAGGUGAAAGGCCUUUCACGCUAGACUCUAGAGCUAGAACUACUCAAUCCCCAUAAAUUUGUAUUACAACAGAAAGAUAUGUGUUGGACUUUACAGACAUUCUCUUUGGCCAAACUAGUUUUACACAGCAGAAAAUUACUUCUUACAAAGAUUUAGUUUCAGCUUUCUUUUUCUGUUGCUUAUUUCUCUCAUUGUCUUCACAGGUUAGUCUCUAUCUUAGAUUUGUCCUUGCUCUUACUCUUGCUGUUGGAACAACACUUUUUCAUAAUCUUCAAAUGAGGAUUCAACAUGAAUUUAUAAGCCUGAAAACAAAUUAAAGACUUUAGUUUCUUACAUGAUCACAAUGCUCCUUGAAACAGUCACACACCAUUCACUACAUGUUGGAGAAAAUAGAAGGACCAAAAUUAUCCAACAAAUACUUCACACAUGAGAAUUAAAAGUACACAGUUAAAUUUUGUAAAGCACAGCUAUCUCGAAGGAUGCAGCAGUAGAUCAUGUACGGACUAAGCGCCCGUUCGGCAACAGCUCAAGAAUGCAUUUCUUUAACUGUCAGAAAAUGAGAAAGUAGAAAGCAUGUUUCUUUGACAGUACUCAAGAUUGUAUGUUCGUCAAUGAUCGAGUCUUCAUAAAAGAGAAGGAUCUUAAACCUAAUAAAUAGUGGAGUUGUAUAGAAACUUAAAGGGGCUUCCUUAAUUUAGAGGAUACAUCAAAGUUGUUUAUGACAAGCUAAGUUCCAUUAUGAAGAAUUUCAGUUGAGAUUAUUUAUUAUUAGAGCAAUCCCAAUGGGAGGGCAGUUUGGUGCCCUCCACAUAAGUGCCACAUAAGCAAAACCACUUUCAAAAUCACUCUCUCUCUAUGGUAGUCAAAACCCCCUACGAAGUGGUGUCAAUGGAAAAAUUUGGAAAUGUCAGUUUACAAAAAUUAAAUGGCUUAUAAGACGGAACUUUGAGUUUCGGUUACCAAAUUUUAGAAGUGUUAUAAGACGGAACUUCGAGUUCCUGAAAAGUUAGUCUAUAAGACGGAACUUCAAGUUCCAUAUAAGAUAUAAAGUGUAUAAGACGGAACUGUGUGUUCCGAAAAAGUGUUAAAUCGGAACACGGUGUUCCGUCUUAUGCAAUUAACAUAUAAAGUGUAUAAGACGGAACUGUGUGUUCCGAAAAAGUGUUAAACCGGAACACGGUGUUCCGUCUUAUGCAAUUAACAUGGCAUUUUAGAUGGCAUUAUACUCCCCUCUCAAAUGCCAUUGGAACUUCUAUCCACCGUUGAAUGUUUGACCCACCGUAACAUUGGCGAAGAGAUUUUAGCUACGAGGGCAUUUCAUACUACCGCCCUUCUCAAAUGCCCUCCGAUUGGGAUUGCUCUUAGCAGGGGAACAACCAAAAUAAGACAUCAAUACCCUAGAGGCAGAAGUUUAACUCCCAUAGCUGUGUCCAUUCGGCAAAGGAACAUAAUCAUUACGAGAAACUUAUUACUUAAAACGAACCGUAUGGAGUAUUCUAAGGGGAGCAUUGUUAAGCCAACUUGGCUUACCGUGGAAGCUAUACCAAUAAUUUUUAUUUUAUUUUUUCUUAAAUAAUAAAAUAAUUUUUAUUUUAAUGUGGAAGCCGGCUCGACUCGACUCGGCUCGUAAGUUAACUUAUCUUUUUGGUCCACCUCUUACUUAGUUAAGUUGUGAUUGGGUUCACUGGAUCAUGUUACAUCUCUACUCUAACAGAUGUGAGUUGUGCCUGUUGAGAAAAAACGUUUUCCAAUAGGUGUGUGUCUGUUGUGAACAGGCACGACUUAGCCUAUAAAUUGAGUGUUGUUCUGGCCAGUAAGUACACAAUUCAUUCAGACUAAGUCUGCUUCUCUCUCUCUCUCUAAAAGGAAUUCGAAGUCUUUUUCUUGUUUGUUCGCCAGAACUCUGCUAUUACAGUGCAGUCUAGCAGAGUGCAGAAUAGUUGUAUCUUGGGAGACUAUCGUCCAGUACCUGUGUGCACCAGUAGCAGGGACGUAACAUUGUCUUAAGAAUAUUGCCUCGGCAAGCCUCUGUUCAUCUCCUUAAAUCCUCAAGUUGUGUAGUAAGUGUUACCGUUUACUGAAUUCAUUUAAUACAUAUAUUAUUUGUUUUCUGUUCGAGUUAGUGUAUUCUCUAUUUCUGUAACGUGUAUGUUAUAUUCCUGAGUUCAUACAGUAUAAUACCAACACUAUAAACAGCUAUUUGCCGCUCAUCAUGAAUCCAAUAUGCAGAACCAUUAAAAUAUGUGACGAGACCAAUCUCUUUCAGGCAUGGACUAUAAUAACAUAACUUCGGUUUAUUCCACUUCCCCUUCUUUGAACAAUACAUCUCUACUUGUAACGAAUCAUUGGGUUUCUUAACGAAGCACAUCACCCUAAACUGUGUUGUUCUAACAUGUUCAGGUAAACUAAUCCAUUGUUUAGUAACAGGAUUACAAACAAUAUAUUCAAAGGUUUUAAACUUAACAGCACAAAGUAAAACCCCAUUAUUCGAAUAGAAAACAGCAAUUGUAGGAUAAAUUCUACUAAGAAAACCCAAGGAUUUAUCUAUAGAAAUCAUACCACCAUCAUCAUCACCAGUACUGAAGAAGCUAAGUUCACCAUCUGCCCAAAAGAUACUACCGUCUGGUCCUUCCAUUCUAUGAAAGAAACCAUGAAUCAAAGAAGUGAAUCCAAGUUCUUUUGAUGAAACUAUUACCAAAACAUUU
rnacentral:lncRNA from 1 species